GGAAACCUUUGAAAUGAAAUACGUACCUUCUCCUUGCUUGCUCUGUGGGCCUUGUGAUGCCAGCCAGCCUCACGAGAACUUCCUGGUGGUGGAAGGAGUCACUGAGAGAACAAGUCUGUGCUGGAAGGAUGGAGGCAGCAACAGCUGCAAGGUCUGGCUUGUGAGAUGAGAACCCUCAGUGCAGAAGCAAAGACAGAAGAGACCCCUGCCCUCCCCCCGGCAUGCUGUGACUCGCAGAAGGAAGCUGGGAAAAAUGCAGAAAUGCCCUCAUUUGACUGAAGACAAAUACAAUAUCUGGAGGGAUUCACAGGAAGGUGGAAACCUUGGCCGCCUCUGGGCGGGCAAACGAGAGGCUGAAGGGCAGCGUGGGAAGGAGACCGUGUCAUCACCUGAACUGUACCCAGACUUCUGAAUAGCUGUCAUCACACAGCGAAGUCCGGUCCGCUGCCCUCCUACUGGAAAGCGUCUGCCACAGAAACCCAGCACCCAGUUGGGUGAAGUUGGCCCCCCCGAGCCCAUCCAGCCCCGGUCCUGGCCACGCCUGGCCCGCCUUCCCCGGGCCUCCGAGACUUCUAGCAACAGUUCUCACUGUCUCUGGCCAAAACCAAUUUUUCAAGAGCAGAAACAUAUUGGAACUGUCAAAAGAACAUGAAAUGAAAAAAAAAAAAACAAAACAUGAAAUGAGCCACAGAAAAGCAUGAAGCAUAACUUAAACAGUUCUACUUGUUCUGUGACAUUUUAAAAAGAGCAAAUCUGUCAUCAAGGUAAAAAACUGAAACGGAAGCCGAGCACUUUGGUAUCAGGUGCUUCACAUGGUGAAGAUGGCCCUAAAGCCAAACCAUCUCAGUGGGCUGUCAAGUGACAUGGGUCUUUCAAACAACAGGCGGUCACCCUCUGCCCAUGCCUCUCCUGCCCCAGGGCCUUUGAACAUCUGCUUCUGUAGCACCUUUGGUGGCAGGUGCACCUCCCAGGUGCCUUGGUGUCCCUGAAGCCUGGGACCCAAGAACCCUAAUGCAGGGCGCCCCAGGGCCCCCUCAGACUCCGCCUGGCGGCUCUGUCUGUCCCGCGAGCCCUCGGCACAAGCUGUGUGGUGGCCUCUUCCCCGGCCACCAUUGACCUGGGCCGAGCUCCGUCCUGAUCCCUGCACUUGUGGGUUGCGGCCAGCAUCGCUAAAUGCCAAGAUGCUGUCACCACCGGCACACUAAAUGCCAAGAUACCGUCACCACCGGCACUGGUGCUCAUCCAUGUUUGUUCCUGACCCUUGUCCCUCUGGGAUCUCUCUAGGGUCAUCCAGAAGAUUGGAGAAAACAAAGAAACCUCAAGGCUGUUGUGCUGGCUUUGUCCUCGGCUGUGUGUUUUAGGGACACGGCAGGAGAAAAAGAAAAGUUGCUCACUCCCCACUGUCUGCAUCUGCACAGCAUCCUGGUGCUCACACGGGUCACACAACUGUCAAAACUCACCCCAAAAAAACAACAACAAAAAACAAACCAAAAAAAACUCAUCCUGCUGAACACUGAACGCCUGUGCAUGUGGCUGUGUUCUUUAUACCUUAAAUUUUUUCAAUAAAAAAGUGAAACCAGAGAGUAGCGCCACAUAAUAUCCUGCCUAAUAAUAUGAGGAGAGGAUGCAAAUAAAUCAGCCUUUCCCCUGGGCUCCCUGAGUCGGCCGUUGGGUCCUGUGUCCCAUCCCGCCUCUCCCAUCUCUCACUUGGCUGACGUGCAGCCCGCCGGCUGCUCCUUCCGCCUCUGCUCCUCACACCUUCAACCCAUCCUCCUCAUGGCACACCCCAGGACCUUUGUACAAUGGAAAUAUUUCCAAACUUCUCCUGGCUUAAAAUCCACAGUCACGUCUCAUCUGCUCCCUAGAGGAUAACAUCCAAGCUCCUAACGGUGCACCACCCACCUCCGUGAGUGGCCCUUGCCCACCUUGCUAGCCUCUGCUCUCACCCCUGCCUGGCUCCCAUUUUGUGCUCCAGAAACUAAACUGCUUCCAAUUCCCCACAUGCCCUGCUUGCCUCCUGCCGGAAAUGCCCUUUCCAAAACCACCAAAUUAGAACUGGUGCCGGGAGAAACACACACUGUGCUUAUGGGCUUCCAAAACAGCGGUCAGGUUUUAUAUUUUCACCUUGAAUCAGGACAGGUACCCAGUUUCACCUGUGAGCCAGAUGUGAUGUGAAGAUGGUGCCCCAGGCGGGGGUCUCAGGCCGUCUUUUAAGCCCCAGCUUUGCCCUUGACCGAAUGCACGUCCUGCCCGGGUCACUGAGCAGGUCUGAAUCUCAUUCCCUUUUAUGUAAAACCAGGGUUACAAGCACCCGCUGUAAAGGAGGAGGAACCCAUGAACUGUUGGAUGCAGCGAACUCUAUAAACUUUUCAGAGACGCACAAAUGGCAGCUUAAGGCGAGCUGCCUGCCGUGAGCACGGGGCAGGAGCAGAGCCCACAGUGGGGCCUUAGUGACGUUUUGUCAGAUGGGUUCUGUUCGAGAAUCCUGGGAAGAAUUGUCUGUGGCUGGCUCUGGCAUGUGAAACACUCUACUGGCUGCUCCAUCAAACGCCGUAAGGAUUCCUUCUCCAAGGGCAUAUUUCAGAACCUGGAGCGUCUGACCCCAGUUAUGGGUCAUGGUAAUGCCCAUCACACAGACACAGUGUGCUCCAGCAUAGACAGGCUGUGGGAAAAAUUUAGGGCACACGGACAGAGCGCUGGACACAAGAGAACCAGAUUCUGAGCCCUCCUCUGUCACCAGCUCGACCUCCUGGUCUCAAUUCCCUCACCUCCCAGGGCUCCACAAAACUAGUGCUAAGGGCCCUUCUAGUUCUUACAUUCUGUGUGUGGCCGAGGUAAAGGUGCAAAAUGGGUGCUUUAGAACUGAGUUUUGAUUAGCAUCUGUCUUUAGGUGACUCCAGGAUCAAUCGAGCCACAAAUAUUAACUGAUCUACAAUUAUAGUCCAAUCUGGCCAUUCUCACCAUCAAUGAAAUAUACUGAGCUCAGUCUACCAGUUCGUAUGCUGAUUUCUUAGGUGAAAUCUCCUUUUCGUAGGACUAAGAGGUCCUCCGUUUAAAAGGAAUUAGUUAGAAACAGUUACAGUCUUUGCCUCUGGGGAAUGGGGCUUGACUGGAGGGGGACAGGGAAGCAUCAUGUCAGAUCUUCUGGACUUUGCUUUCUACCUUCUGAAUUUUGUGUUUUCUGUUUAUACCAGUGGUUCUUUAAAAUAGUCACAUAAGUAGUUACUGAUGAAGUGACUCUGUAUUCGGGACUUGCAGGGUGGGGGGAUGAAAUGGGACCGGCCAUGUAUGGAGAACUAUUGGAUGGGUGAUGGCUACUCGGGGAGUUCCUUAUACUGUUUUCUCUACCUUUGGGUAUGUUUGAAAUGUCCCGUAAUGAAAAUUUUAAAUAGUAAACAUUUCAAUUUGUUGAAAAGCACACUAAUGUCAUAAACUGCAAGAUUUUGCAUUAUUCCACCUUUUCCUUGAAAAUUUUGUUAUUGUAAUAA